AUUGAACGCUGGCGGCAGGCCUAACACAUGCAAGUCGAGCGAGCGGCGGACGGGUGAGUAAUGCCUGGGAAACUUCCUGACGGUGGGGGAUAACUACUGGAAACGGUAGCUAAUACCGCAUACCAUCAGAUGUGCCCAGAUGGGAGUAGAUAGUAGGUGGGGUAACGGCUUACCGAGGCGACGAGCCCUAGCUGGUCUGAGAGGAUGACCAGCCACAUGGGAACUGAGACACGGGCCAGACUCCUACGGGAGGAAGCAGGGGGGAAUAUUGCGCAAUGGGCGCAAGCCUGAUGCAGCCAUGCCGCGUGUGUGAAGAAGGCCUUCGGGUUGGAAAGCACUUUCAGCGGGGAGGCGUUACCCGCAGAGGAAGCACCGGCUAACUCCGUGCCAGCAGCCGCGGUAAUA
rnacentral:rRNA from 1 species